CUGAACCACCCUAUUAAAUGUUUUCCUAAAGGCCUUGGGAAGGAAGUGUGCUCUCUUAGGGAGAGGCCUGGGAGGGGCCAUCUUCCCCUGCACUCCCCGCAUCCAUCACUAUCUUAUAGGAGCACUGAUGUCCAGAAACUACCCCCAGUAACCCUGGCUGUGGGGAUGGCUCUGUGGAAGUCCCCAAAAUGAAACAAAGUCACAAGUGUUGGCAGGAUAGAAAAAGGUCAGGGUAAGCUUUUGUUAUUGUUCAGCCCCUCAGUCCUGUCAGACUCUUUGCAACCCCAUGGACUGCAGCACGCCAGGCUUCCCUGUCGUAAGACUCUGUGUUAGAGAAGAUAUUCCAUGAAUAGUGCCUGGCACCAUGACAGCACUCCAUGAAUGAAGCAAUGUCAAAGGAAGUGAAGAGUUUCUCCCAGAUGAAUGGCAUGCAUCCCUCUUGCUGGCAAGUGUUUGAGCCCCUUUUACAUGCUUUUCAAAAUUUCAGAUAUUUUUCAAAAUGCUGUGUUGGCAAUUUCGAAGCUUUUACAGUUUUAAAAAAUGUAUGUGGAAUGUUGUGAAAAGGCCACAAAAUGUCUGGGUAUUUUCAGUUGAAAGAUUUCAAAUUUGGACCUAAUAGAAGCAGAAGAUAUUAAGAAGAGGUGGCAAGAAUACACAGAAGAACUGUACAAAAAAGAUCUUCAUGACCAAGAUAAUCACAAUGGUGUGAUCACUCACCUAGAGCCAGACA